GUUGAACUUUGGUCCUUGAGCUUACUUGGCCAGCACUCCUAUCACUGAGCCACACCUCCAGCCCUCAUUUUUCUCUGCUUAUUUUUAACAGACGUUCUCUUCCUUGCUAUGGCAUGUGCCUGGGCAUGAUCUACCUGUUAGCUUUCUUUCCCAUGUAGAUAGGCUAAUAAUAAGCAUGUGCUAUCACGGUAGUCCAGUCCUUCCUUCAGGAAUCUUCUGAUCCAGGGUAGCCUCAAGAUUCUGUCCAUCUAGUCUCAGUCUCCCAGGUAGCUAGGAUUAUAGACAUCAGUCACUGGUGUCCAGUUUUAACUCACAAAAUUUUUAAUGUUUCCCCAUCUCAUUUUAAGGUUUAGUGCUAUUCAUUGUUCACUUUCUAGGGUCAGACUUUGUAGGUUCAGAACUGGGUUCUAAUACUAGAUUGUGUGUGCACAGAUUAACUUUUCUAAUCUAUACAAAGAGAAUAAUAUCUACUUUGGUUCAGUUAUUAGAUAUCCGAAGUGCUUAUUCUUUAGAAAUUCCAAAACAUCAGAAUAUGUUUAUUUUUCUCAACAAGUUUUAAAAGCUUGUAGCCAUUAAGUUAUCACCUACAGAUCAUUUGAACUUUUAUCUGUUUUAUUUCUGACUUCAACCAUGUUUCUAACUUGAUUGUAAGUACCCAUGGAGGAAACUAAUGGGAAACUGUAGUCAGCACUAUCAUUUUCUUUUUACUGUUAAUAGCUUCCUUUUCUG